rnacentral:misc_RNA from 1 species
GAUGAAGAACGCAGCGAAAUGCGAUAAGUAAUGUGAAUUGCAGAAUUCAGUGAAUCAUCGAAUCUUUGAACGCAUCUUGCGCUCCUUGGUAUUCUGAGGAGCAUGCCUGUUUGAGUGUCAUUAAAUUCUCAACUACACUGACUUUGAAUUGGUGUGGCUUGGAUUUGGGGGGAAAAUUGUUGUGGGCUUUUUGUAUAGUCUGCUCCCCUGAAAUUGAUUAGCGGUACCUUUGUGGAACUGUCUACAGGUGUGAUAAUUAUCUACAUCUUAGACAUCUGCUGGAAUGCUGCUUUCUAAACCUUACUUGUAUUGACAAUCUUGACCUCAAAUCAGGUAGGACUACCCGCUGAACUUAAGCAUAUCAAUGCGGAGGA